AUGCCCUUGAAAUUUGUGGAUGAGUCGUUCAUUGGUGCAGCAAACUUAAUUCAUAGAAUGGCGUGCAAAGUUAUCAACUUUGAAACUACCCUUACCAGAUUGUUUUUUUUAGCAAAACCUGAUUGUUUGGUGAAACACCAGACUACUCAUCCCUUCAUAUUUUCACGUGCGCCUGCUGGGCCAACCUUCACCAAAAAAAAUGCUCACAAACUUCAAUUCCGCUCCGAACAGUGUGCAUUUCUAGGGUACAGUAAUCUGCACAAUGGGUACAAAUGCUUGGACAUUUCCACAAGACGAGUUACAUCUCUUGCGAUGUGCCAGUUGACGAAAAUAUUUCCCCCUUCUCUACCUAUCGAGCUUACAUGCUGA
rnacentral:rRNA from 1 species